rnacentral:rRNA from 1 species
CGGCGUCUAAUACUGGAUAUGUCCUAUCACCGCAUGGUGUGUGGGUGGAAAGAUUUUUCGGUUGGGGAUGGGCUCGCGGCCUAUCAGCUUGUUGGUGAGGUAAUGGCUCACCAAGGCGUCGACGGGUAGCCGGCCUGAGAGGGUGACCGGCCACACUGGGACUGAGACACGGCCCAGACUCCUACGGGAGGCAGCAGUGGGGAAUAUUGCACAAUGGGCGGAAGCCUGAUGCAGCAACGCCGCGUGAGGGAUGACGGCCUUCGGGUUGUAAACCUCUUUUAGCAGGGAAGAAGCGUGAGUGACGGUACCUGCAGAAAAAGCACCGGCUAACUACGUGCCAGCAGCCGCGGUAAUACGUAGGGUGCAAGCGUUAUCCGGAAUUAUUGGGCGUAAAGAGCUCGUAGGCGGUUUGUCGCGUCUGCUGUGAAAUCCCGAGGCUCAACCUCGGGCUUGCAGUGGGUACGGGCAGACUAGAGUGCGGUAGGGGAGAUUGGAAUUCCUGGUGUAGCGGUGGAAUGCGCAGAUAUCAGGAGGAACACCGAUGGCGAAGGCAGAUCUCUGGGCCGUAACUGACGCUGAGGAGCGAAAGGGUGGGGAGCAAACAGGCUUAGAUACCCUGGUAGUCCACCCCGUAAACGUUGGGAACUAGUUGUGGGGUCCUUUCCACGGAUUCCGUGACGCAGCUAACGCAUUAAGUUCCCCGCCUGGGGAGUACGGCCGCAAGGCUAAAACUCAAAGGAAUUGACGGGGACCCGCACAAGCGGCGGAGCAUGCGGAUUAAUUCGAUGCAACGCGAAGAACCUUACCAAGGCUUGACAUACACCAGAACACCCUGGAAACAGGGGACUCUUUGGACACUGGUGAACAGGUGGUGCAUGGUUGUCGUCAGCUCGUGUCGUGAGAUGUUGGGUUAAGUCCCGCAACGAGCGCAACCCUCGUUCUAUGUUGCCAGCACGUAAUGGUGGGAACUCAUGGGAUACUGCCGGGGUCAACUCGGAGGAAGGUGGGGAUGACGUCAAAUCAUCAUGCCCCUUAUGUCUUGGGCUUCACGCAUGCUACAAUGGCCGGUACAAUGGGCUGCGAUACCGUAAGGUGGAGCGAAUCCCAAAAAGCCGGUCCCAGUUCGGAUUGAGGUCUGCAACUCGACCUCAUGAAGUCGGAGUCGCUAGUAAUCGCAGAUCAGCAACGCUGCGGUGAAUACGUUCCCGGGUCUUGUACACACCGCCCGUCAAGUCAUGAAAGUCGGUAACACCUGAAGCCGGUGGCC